UACGUAGGGGGCAAGCGUUGUCCGGAUUUAUUGGGCGUAAAGAGCGUGUAGGCGGUUAGGUAGGUCCGUUGUGAAAACUCGAGGCUCAACCUCGAGACGCCGAUGGAAACCAUCUGACUAGAGUCCGGAAGAGGAGAGUGGAAUUCCUGGUGUAGCGGUGAAAUGCGCAGAUAUCAGGAAGAACACCCGUGGCUAAGGCGGCUCUCUAGUACGUGACUGACGCUGAGACGCGAAAGCUAGGGGAGCAAACGGG
rnacentral:rRNA from 1 species